rnacentral:ncRNA from 1 species
GCUUGUGGCGGCUAAGCGUUCAUAGCGACGUCGCUUUUUGAUCCUUCUAUGUCGGCUCUUCCUAUCAUUGUGAAGCAGAAUUCACCAAGUGUUGGAUUGUUCGAUUAGUCUUUCGCCCCUAUACCCAGGUUGGACGACCGAUUUGCACGUC